GCGGGUAUGGUUCAGUGGCAGAACGCGACCUUCCCAAGGUUGAGACACGGGUUCGAUUCCCGUUACCCGCUCCC
rnacentral:tRNA from 1 species